rnacentral:misc_RNA from 1 species
UCCGGCUUAUCACCGGCAGUUUCCUUAGAGUUCCCAGCCGAACUGUUGGCAACUAAGGAUGAGGGUUGCGCUCGUUGCGGGACUUAACCCAACAUCUCACGACACGAGCUGACGACAGCCGUGCAGCACCUGUGCACGGUCCAGCCAAACUGAAGGAAAGCAUUUCUGCGAUCCGCGACCGGCAUGUCAAGGCCUGGUAAGGUUCUUCGCGUUGCCUCGAAUUAAACCACAUGCUCCACCGCUUGUGCGGGUCCCCGUCAAUUCCUUUGAGUUUUAAUCUUGCGACCGUACUCCCCAGGCGGAGUGCUUAAUGCGUUAGCGACGCCAUCGAGCCUCAAGGACCCAACAGCUAGCACUCAUCGUUUACGGCGUGGACUAC